GAUGAACGCUGGCGGCGUGCCUAAUACAUGCAAGUCGAGCGAACAGACGAGGAGCUUGCUCCUUCGACGUUAGCGGCGGACGGGUGAGUAACACGUAGGUAACCUACCUAUAAGACUGGGAUAACUUCGGGAAACCGGAGCUAAUACCGGAUAAUAUUUCGAACCGCAUGGUUCGAUAGUGAAAGAUGGCUUUGCUAUCACUUAUAGAUGGACCUGCGCCGUAUUAGCUAGUUGGUAAGGUAACGGCUUACCAAGGCAACGAUACGUAGCCGACCUGAGAGGGUGAUCGGCCACACUGGAACUGAGACACGGUCCAGACUCCUAUGGGAGGCAGCAGUAGGGAAUCUUCCGCAAUGGGCGAAAGCCUGACGGAGCAACGCCGCGUGAGUGAUGAAGGUCUUCGGAUCGUAAAACUCUGUUAUUAGGGAAGAACAAACGUGUAAGUAACUGUGCACGUCUUGACGGUACCUAAUCAGAGAGCCACGGCUAACUACGUG
rnacentral:rRNA from 1 species